rnacentral:misc_RNA from 1 species
AACCUUAUGGACCUGCGGGCGUAUACCUGCGGAGGGAUCAUUACCAGAGCGAGGGGGAACCCCCGACCUCCAACCCCAUGUAAUUCACACCAUGUUGCCUCGGGGGCGACCCGGCCUUCGGGCGUCGGGGCCCCCGGUGGACCCGUAACACUGCAUCUAUGCGUCUGAGUGAUUAAUCAAUCAAUCAAAACUUUCAACAACGGAUCU